rnacentral:rRNA from 1 species
GACGAACGCUGGCGGUGUGCUUAACACAUGCAAGUCGAACGGUAAGGCCCUUUCGGGGGUACACGAGUGGCGGACGGGUGAGUAACACGUGAGUAACCUGCCCUCAUCUCUGGGAUAACAGUCGGAAACGGUUGCUAAUACUGGAUAUGAGCUUGCAAGGCAUCUUGUGGGUUGGAAAGAUUUUUUUUGGUUGGGGAUGGACUCGCGGCCUAUCAGCUUGUUGGUGAGGUAGUGGCUCACCAAGGCUUCGACGGGUAGCCGGCCUGAGAGGGCGACCGGCCACAUUGGGACUGAGAUACGGCCCAAACUCCUACGGGAGGCAGCAGUGGGGAAUAUUGCACAAUGGACGGAAGUCUGAUGCAGCAACGCCGCGUGCGGGAUGACGGCCUUCGGGUUGUAAACCGCUUUCAAUUGUGACGAAGCUUUUUUGUGACGGUAGCAGUAGAAGAAGCACCGGCUAACUACGUG